rnacentral:rRNA from 1 species
GCCCGUACCGUAAACCGACACAGGUGGGUGGGAUGAGUAUUCUAAGGCGCGUGGAAGAACUCUCUUCAAGGAACUCUGCAAAAUAGCACCGUAUCUUCGGUAUAAGGUGUGCCUAACUUUGUUAAGGAUUUACUCCGUAAGCAUUGAAGGUUACAACAAAGAGUCCCUCCCGACUGUUUACCAAAAACACAGCACUCUGCUAACUCGUAAGAGGAUGUAUAGGGUGUGACGCCUGCCCGGUGCUCGAAGGUUAAUUGAUGACGUUAGCUCUGCGAAGCGUUUGAUCGAAGCCCGAGUAAACGGCGGCCGUAACUAUAACGGUCCUAAGGUAGCGAAAUUCCUUGUCGAUUAAAUAUCGACCUGCAUGAAUGGCGUAACGAGAUGGGAGCUGUCUCGAAGAGGGAUCCAGUGAAAUUGUAGUGGAGGUGAAAAUUCCUCCUACCCGCGGCAAGACGGAAAGACCCCGUGGACCUUUACUACAGCUUGACACUGCUAUUGGGAUAAAAAUGUGCAGGAUAGGUGGGAGGCUUUGAUCCAUAGACGCCAGUUUAUGGUGAGCCGUUGUUGAGAUACCACUCUUUUUUAUUCUGAUAGCUAACUAGCUUGAGUUAUCCUCAAGUAGGACAAUGUCUGGUGGGUAGUUUGACUGGGGCGGUCGCCUCCCAAAAUGUAACGGAGGCUUACAAAGGUUGGCUCAGAACGGUUGGAAAUCGUUCGUAGAGUAUAAAGGCAAAAGCCAGCUUAACUGCGAGACAUACACGUCAAGCAGGGACGAAAGUCGGUCUUAGUGAUCCGGUGGUUCUGUGUGGAAGGGCCAUCGCUCAAAGGAUAAAAGGUACCCCGGGGAUAACAGGCUGAUCUCCCCCAAGAGCUCACAUCGACGGGGAGGUUUGGCACCUCGAUGUCGGCUCAUCGCAUCCUGGGGCUGGAGCAGGUCCCAAGGGUAUGGCUGUUCGCCAUUUAAAGCGGUACGCGAGCUGGGUUCAGAACGUCGUGAGACAGUUCGGUCCCUAUCUGCCGUGGGCGUAAGAAGAUUGAGGAGAGUUGACCCUAGUACGAGAGGACCGGGUUGAACCGACCACUGGUGUACCAGUUAUCCUGCCAAGGGUAGCGCUGGGUAGCUAUGUCGGGAUGUGAUAACCGCUGAAAGCAUCUAAGCAGGAAGCCAACUCCAAGAUGAAUCUUCUUUUAAGAGCUCUUAUAGACUAUAAGUUUGAUAGGCUGGGUGUGUAAUGGAUGAAAGUCCUUUAGCUGACCAGUACUAAUAGCUCGUCUGCUUAUCUUU